CUUGAUUGCACUCCAGUACAAGUCACGAAGAACAAAUGUCAAUGAUAUUGAGGUGUGUAGAUAUUUCGACAAGUCCAGUGAAGGUUGAAGAAUUCUUUUUAGGGUUUUUAUUAGUUGAUGAUACAUCAUGUAAGGGGCUUUUUGAGGAAUUGGUGGAUGCUUUGAAUAAUCUAGAACUUGAUAUUGAUAAUGUCAGGGGUCAAGGCUAUGAUAAUGGUGCUAACAUGAAAGGACAACAUAAAGGAGUUCAAAGUAGACUAUUACAACUAAAUCCUAGAGCAUUCUACAUUCCUUAUGGAUGUCAUAGUCUUAAUCUUGCACUUUUUGAUAUGUCCACUUGUUGUUCAAAAGCUAAAUCUUUCUUUGGGGUGGUGCAACGUAUAUAUACUCUAUUUUCUUCAUCUACUAAACGAUGGAAAGUUUUCAAAGAGAAUGUAACUAGUCUUACCAUUAAGCCUUUGUCACAAACUCGUUGGGAAAGCCAUAUUGAAAGUGUUAGAGCGAUAAGAUUUCAAGCUCUGCAGAUAAAAAAAGCGUUACUUCAAUUAGCAAAUGUUGAUGAUCCUAAGACAAAAAGUGAGGCGGAGUGUUUGGCAACAUAUGAAAUUGACAAUUUUGAAUUCUUACUUGGAAUGAUUAUUUGGUAUGAAGUGUUGAAUAAUGUUAACAGAGUAAGCAAACAAUUGCAAGCAGAAGACAUGCAUAUUGAUGUUGUUAUAGACCAUUUAAAAGGCCUCAAUUCAUUUUUCAAAAGUUAUAGAGAAUCUGGUUUUGAAUCGGCCAUGGUUGAUGCUAAAGAGAUUGCAAGUGAAUUAGAAAUUGAACCGAUAUUUCGUGAAAAACGGGUUAUACAUAGAAAAAAAACAGUUUGAUGAGAUUUCUUUUGAAGAAAUAACACAAACAGCUGAAGAAUCUUUUAAGAUCAAUUAUUUCAUAUAUAUAGUGGAUCAAGCUCUAUCAUCACUUCAGAAUAAAUUUGAGCAAUUUUAGAAAUAUGAUGAUAUUUUUGGAUUUUUGUUUGAUUUGAAAAGACUUAAGUCUAUUGAUGAUGAUGUUUUGAAGUGUUCUUGCAUUAAACUUGAAAAUUACUUGAAGCAUAAUACGAUUUCUGAUAUUGAUGGAAUAGAAUUAUUUUUUGAGUUGAAAGUUUUAAGGGAAGCGAUAUCUGCAAACAUUUUUGGAGCAAUUGAUGUAUUG
rnacentral:lncRNA from 1 species